rnacentral:rRNA from 1 species
GAUGAACGCUAGCUACAGGCUUAACACAUGCAAGUCGAGGGGAAACGAUAUUGGAAGCUUGCUUCCGAUAGGCGUCGACCGGCGCACGGGUGAGUAACGCGUAUCCAACCUGCCCACCACUUGGGGAUAACCUUGCGAAAGUAAGGCUAAUACCCAAUGAUAUCUCAAGAAGACAUCUGAAAGAGAUUAAAGAUUUAUCGGUGAUGGAUGGGGAUGCGUCUGAUUAGCUUGUUGGCGGGGUAACGGCCCACCAAGGCUACGAUCAGUAGGGGUUUUGAGAGGAAGGUCCCCCACAUUGGAACUGAGACACGGUCAAAACUCCUACGGGAGGCAGCAGUGAGGAAUAUUGGUCAAUGGGCGAGAGCUUGAACCAGCCAAGUAGCGUGCAGGAUGACGGCCCUAUGGGUUGUAAACUGCUUUUAUAAGGGAAUAAAGUGAGCCUCGUGAGGCUUUUUGCAUGUACAUUAUGAAUAAGGACCGGCUAAUUCCGUGCCAGCCGCCGCCGUAA